GACGAACCGUGCGAACGUUGUUCGGAAUCACUGGGCGUAAAGGGUGCGUAGGCGGGUCUUUAAGUCAGGGUGAAAUCCUGGAGCUCAACUCCAGAACUGCCUUGAUACUGAAGAUCUUGAGUUCGGGAGAGGUGAGUGGAACUGCGAGUGUAGAGGUGAAAUUCGUAGAUAUUAGGAAGAACACCAGUGGCGAAGGCGGCUCACUGGCCGGUACUGACGCUGAGGUGCGAAGCGUGGGAGCAAACAGG
rnacentral:rRNA from 1 species